GACGAACGCUGGCGGCGUGCCUAAUACAUGCAAGUUGAGCGCUGAAGGUUGGUACUUGUACCAACUGGAUGAGCAGCGAACGGGUGAGUAACGCGUGGGGAAUCUGCCUUUGAGCGGGGGACAACAUUUGGAAACGAAUGCUAAUACCGCAUAAAAACUUUAAACACAAGUUUUAAGUUUGAAAGAUGCAAUUGCAUCACUCAAAGAUGAUCCCGCGUUGUAUUAGCUAGUUGGUGAGGUAAAGGCUCACCAAGGCGAUGAUACAUAGCCGACCUGAGAGGGUGAUCCGCCACAUUGGGACUGGGAAACCGCCCCAACUCCUACGGGGGGCAGCAGUAGGGAAUCUUCGGCAAUGGACGAAAGUCUGACCGAGCAACGCCGCGUGAGUGGAGAAGGUUUUCGGAUCGUAAAACUCUGUUGGUAGAGAAGAACGUUGGUGAGAGUGGAAAGCUCAUCAAGUGACGGUAACUACCCAGAAAGGGACGGCUAACUACGUG
rnacentral:rRNA from 1 species